rfam:Canis lupus familiaris chromosome 16, whole genome shotgun sequence.
AGGAGGAACAACCCCAGUUGCGGGGCCAGCUCUGCAGCCCUGGAGUCAGCUCCCGCAGUUAACUCCAGAGCUCUCCGUCUGCAGGGCCUGGAUGCUCCGGGGGUGG